rnacentral:sRNA from 1 species
AAUGAGUGGUGCAGAAUACGCGCCUUGCAAAAUAACCGACGUCUUAUCGCGUCGGUUAUUUUUUUGC